rnacentral:lncRNA from 1 species
GGGACGACAACAACGGUGAAGCCCCUUGCGAACAGCACCCUAAUCUGCGUGCUGAACGCCGACAUGAGCCAGAAGGAGGUAUCGCAGUUGCCCGAGGACGGCCUGUGCGAUCUCGGAUUCUACCAGGCGGACGAGAGAGAGCACGCCAUUGUGAGCGGUUUCGGUGGUCCGUUCAACAAAAGCCUCGAGCUCGUCGUACAAGCGGCCGCCAAUCACACCAAGACCGAGUACGGCGUCAGCUUCGACUAUAGUUCGAUGAAAGUUACGCAAGGACUGCUGUCGACCGACGCGGCCAGGACGACUUGGAAGAGUUGUGGAAGAAGAAGAUUUACCACUACGCCUUUCUCUCGUUGACGUUCUUCACUGUAACGAUGAAAUCGUACAGAAAGGUGUUUUACUAUCUCAAGGAUGUGAACCAAGUUCUUCACAAGGGACUGCCGCCACCGCGACCGUGUUUCUUCCUUAUCGGUGAGAGCUACGUCUCCGUCACUUGGGUGAACUACGCGUUUAAUAAUAUCAGGUAAGCUUGCUCCCCCGUCUGCAUUUUGGCAGCGUUGGCAAUUAGCCUCGUAGAGCGUUGUCGAUGUUUGUAUUUAAACU